rnacentral:ncRNA from 1 species
AUCAACAAAAACACCGUAUGAAGACAGAUUUAGAUAGACAUUAGUAAGCAGGUUGACAGGUUUAGACUAGAGAGGUUUAGACUAGACAUUAGUAAGCAGGAUCUACUGAAGUCAGAAGUAAGGUUGGGUUAAUCUUACAUUCACAGGUUGGAAGGUUACUCCAUUCAACUUCAUCUCCUUUAAGCUGACAGUAGAUGAAAUGACUCCCAUUUAAUCUGUACCUAAGUGAAAAUACACAAGAAAACAAAAAGUUAUGUAACUACCCAGAAACAGAGAACAAUUUUUUUCCCCUGGUACCAGUGAGUGUAGAAAAGGCAGUUUUAAAGCAAGCAGCCGUACAGGUACACGCUGGUUAACAGGAGAGCUCCUUCACCUUGCUCUCUGCCAGCAUCCUUGUUAAUCUACUUCAGGCGAUUCUCUCCCUUGAGUCGUUGCAGAGCGCGUCUUCCAUUGCCAUGAUGGGAGAAGCCCUGGCUGGGGGCUAGCAGAGCUCCAGCUCUGUGGCUGCCGGGCAGCGCCGAGGCUAGCGCUGUGUGCCGUACCCCAUCUCGAUUUUCAGUACGAAUACAGACCGCGAAAGUGGGGCCUCACGAUCCUUCUGGCUUUUUGGGUUUUAAGCAGGAGCUGUCAGAAAAGUUACCACAGGGAGAACUGGCGUGUGGCGGCCAAGUGUGCAUAGCGACGUCGCGUUUUGAUCCUUCGAUGUCGGCUCUUCCUGUCAUUGCAAAGCAGAAUUCACCAAGCGUUGGAUUGUUCACCCACUAAUAGGGAACGUGAGCUGGGAUUAGACCGUCGUGAGACAGGUUAGUUUUACCCUCAGCUGGU